rnacentral:rRNA from 1 species
ACCCGCUGAACUUAAGCGCGGAGGAAAAGAAACUAACAAGGAUUCCCCUAGUAACGGCGAGUGAAGCGGGAACAGCUCAAAUUUGAAAUCUCCAACUUUCAGUUGGCGAAUUGUAGUUUAGAGAAGCGUUUUCCGAAACAGCUUGGGUAUAAGUCCCUUGGAAAAGGGCAUCAUAGAGGGUGAGAAUCCCGUUUAUGAUCCAAGUACUGUUUCUCUGUGAUACGCUUUCAAAGAGUCGGGUUGUUUGGGAAUGCAGCCCAAAUUGGGAGGUAAAUGUCUUCCAAAGCUAAAUAUUGGCGAGAGACCGAUAGCGAACAAGUACCGUGAGGGAAAGAUGAAAAGAACUUUGAAAAGAGAGUUAAAUAGUACGUGAAAUUGCCAAAAGGGAAACGUUUGAAACCAGUGUUGCUGGCUGGCACUCAACAGUGUUAUCAACAUUGUGCAUUUGUCAGUCGGCAGGUCAACAUCAGUUUGAUUCGCAGUAUAAAGGUACAGGAAGGUGACUUCGCUUCGGGGAAGUGUUAUAGCCUGUACUCAUGCUGUGGGUUGGACUGAGGACUGCAGCACGCCGCAAGGCAGGGUGUCAUUGGUUUUAGUUAGUACUUUCGGCUAGACUGCAUGCAGACUAGUUGAAAUCUGCUGGCUAUGCUAGUGUCUACUUCUAACGUGCUUAGGAUGUUGACGAAAUGGUUUU